UCCCUACAAUUGUAUUCUAUUGUGAUGAACUCAUUGUCAUUUCAUAUUAUUAUAUAAACUCAAUACCAAUUUCGGAUUUAGAAGAACAAAGCUUUCCUUUCCCACCGAUUAUUAAUUGAUGUUCUGUUCAUACUCUCUCUUUCUUUCGCGCCUCAGAAGCCGAAGAUUUGAUGAUUCUACUCUGCGAAUUCUGGAAUUAUUUCCCGCUUCCAAAGACGCGACCUCGUUGGCGGAUGUUAAAUCCAGCUUUUCUGAACUUCUCAGAUUUGAAUCUCUAUCUAUCAUUCGUGAAACCGCUGAGAAAACUGAUGAUCAAAAGCUUCUAGUCAUCGAAUUUCUUGUUCGAGCUUUUGCCCUCGUUGGAGACAUUGAGAGUUGCUUAGCUUUGAGAUACGAGGCCUUGAAUUUUCGGGUACUGAAGUCUUUCAAUCAACCAUGGCUUCAAGUAUCACACGCAGAAUGGUUAAACUUCGCUGAGCAUUCAUUGCAUGCUGGCUUUUUCUCAAUUGCCAUAAAGGCAUAUGAGCAAGCACUGUCAAGCCUUCAGCAGAGUGAUACUGCAAACUACACAUCACAUGGUUCCUUUAAACACACAGAAGUCAUCGAGAAGAUAAAUAGACUCAAAGAUCAUGCUCUGAAUUUAUCUGGUUCCCAUUCUGUUCAAGCUCUCACAUCUGAUUAUUUGAAAAAGAAAGUAACUGAAAGGAGCAGAAAGAUUUCUUCAUCCUGCACAAGAAAGUUUACAGCGAGCACUCUAUUCAGAAAUGGUAUCAGAAACUACAAUGCAAGAAAGCUGCAUGAAUAUCGAAGUAUUGGUGGGGUUAACCAGAAAGUCGCACAAAAUCCAGUUUUGUGAUCAGACCUACAUGUAGUCUCUCUUCAUACCCAUCUGACUAGAUAAAUGUUCAGGGAGUAGAUCGGGGAGACUUAGGGGCAUAAGAAAAAGUGUUUCUACAAAAUUCCAGUUGAUCUCAGUUCUGUGCAAGUCUAAGUUGCCUCUCCCCGUCUGACAGUUGGAAUUGGGGUCUAUCACCCGUAGUCAUUUAAAGGAGAUCACCGAAGAACAUGGACAAAGUUUUGCCAUCGCAUAGAGCAUUUUAAAGCAGUUGAUGGAGUCUCCUAAAGAUGAGAUUGUCAUCAAAGAGAAUUCAUUGUAUGAUAACUUUGAUUCUACCUCUAACACGUCAAAGAGGGAAUCACUCCCUCACGUGAUACCUAUUAUGACGACUAAUGUAAUAGUCGAGGCAGACAUGAUAGAGAUGGGGAGCAUGUAAUCUUCUGAUGAAAGCUAUCGAGGAACAAGACUACAAAACUGCAACCUUGAGAGAUCAAAUGUAGGCUCGUGAAACUGGUAAGUCCAACGAAGCUCCUACUGUCAAGGCCGAUGACAAAGGGAAAAACAUGGUACAGGAAAGCCAUUCACAACAAUAAACUUUUGUUGCCUCCCUGUCAGUCUAGUAGCUGUAGGAUAUGAUCACAAACUCUAUCAAGGCCGAGCAUGGAGCCUCAUCUCAUACUUCUAAAAGAAUGACAAUUUGAGAAUGUCUUUUGAGUACCAACCACCCAAAA